GGAAGAUAGAUGAGAAUGGGAACCUUUCCUUAGGAAAAGUUCGAAACUCUUAAGAAAACCUUUCAAUAAUUAAAAAGAAUUGCUUUCAGACUAAGUUAUUUAGGGAGUGUGAGAAUUAAUCAGAAAAGCUUCAGAAUAACCCAAGCAAAUUAUGGUUGAUUUGAGUCAGAAACGAAUUUAUGCUACUGCCCAAAAGGCUAGCAGGUCAUUAUGGGAUUAAGGGUUAAGUAACAGCCACCUUGGAAAAGCCUUUCUCAGGAAAGGUGGAGAGUUUAUUUUUAAUUAAACUUUCCCUUUACUUAGACCUCCAGAGGCCCUGUGUCAUCAGUGGUGAUUAAGACUAGAAAUGAGAAAGACACAAGGUGGCCAGAUAGUCCCAGAGCCAAAAGCUUUUGAACUAUAGUCUUAUCUGCAACUAAAGGAUUUUAUAUUCUGCACUGUUUGGAGAAUGUAAGUAAAAUCCAAAAUUUUAUCCAGUGGUCCUAAUCUCCUUCCACCCAUAUUAUUUAGUGAAACAGGCUUUUCUGAAGAGAAGCAGCACAAUGCAAAUAUUUGAAUCUCUCUUCAUUUUCCUCUCCCUCCAAGCAAGGCACAGAAGUCAUGGUUUAAAGCAGAAGAGGGUGAAAGGGUCGCUGCCCACUACACCCAUUUGGGGGGCCACUGCAGUAGAACGCUGUGUCUGGUAAGUUUCACAGAAAACUUUCCAAAAGUUUUUAUGGCAGACUCAGUGCUCAAAUUAAAGUGGAUUUGAAUGAAUAUCUUUUUCCUGAGGAUGAGCCACACCCUUGGAUAUUGCAAAGCCAGAUCCAGAUUCCUGCCCUGCAUUUAGUGGGGGUCGAGGAGGGUGGAGGGACAUUAGGGACCCCAGUCUGAAGCCAGUCACAACUGACUUAAGCUUCUGAACUUCAUCUGAACUAAGAUCCUCAGUCUAAUUCCAAGUCGGUCACCACUUUUGUCACAGCCUGUGCAAUCUUGUCACUCCUCUCACUCCUCUUCCCUCUUCUCUGAUCUCCAGUCUAUGGAGAUCUCCGGAGCUUGUGAACUCAUUCUCUCCUGC
rnacentral:lncRNA from 1 species